rnacentral:rRNA from 1 species
AGCUUAACCGUAUAGGGGAGGCGAAGGGAAACCGAGUCUGAUAAGGGCGCAUAGUCGCGGGCAGUAGACCCGAAACCAGGUGAUCUAGCCAUGCUCAGGGUGAAGGUCGGGUAACACCGACUGGAGGCCCGAACCCACUCCCGUUGCAAAGGUAGGGGAUGAGGUGUGGCUAGGAGUGAAAAGCUAAUCGAACCUGGAGAUAGCUGGUUCUCCUCGAAAGCUAUUUAGGUAGCGCCUCAUAUGUAUCCUCUUGGGGGUAGAGCACUGUUAUGGCUAGGGGGUCAUCGCGACUUACCAAACCAUUGCAAACUCCGAAUACCAAGACGGACUGUAUGGGAGACACACGGCGGGUGCGAACGUCCGUCGUGAAAAGGGAAACAACCCAGACCCUCAGCUAAGGUCCCAAAAUUACCGCUCAGUGGAAAACGAUGUGGGAAGGCUAAAACAGCCAGGAGGUUGGCUUAGAAGCAGCCACCCUUUAAAGAAAGCGUAAUAGCUCACUGGUCGAGUCGGCCUGCGCGGAAGAUUUAACGGGGCUAAGCGGUAUACCGAAGCUAGGGAUGCACAGCAAUGUGCGUGGUAGAGGAGCGUUCUGUACGCCUGCGAAGGUGGCUUGUAAAGGCUGCUGGAGGUAUCAGAAGUGCGAAUGCUGACAUGAGUAGCGAUAAAGGGAGUGAAAAGCUCCCUCGCCGAAAGCCCAAGGUUUCCUGCGCAACGUUCAUCGGCGCAGGGUGAGUCGGCCCCUAAGGCGAGGCAGAAAUGCGUAGUCGAUGGAAAGCUGGUUAAUAUUCCAGCACCGCUCGUGAUUGCGAUGGGAUGACGGAGAAGGCUAGGUGUACCGGGCGUUGGUUGUCCCGGGGAAAGGCGGUAGGUGUGGGUCUUAGGCAAAUCCGGGACCCUCUACACCGAGCACCGAGACGAGUUCAUUAGAACGAAGUCACCGAGGCCACGCUUCCAGGAAAAGUCUCUAAGCUUCAGAUCACGAGGACCGUACCGUAAACCGACACAGGUAGGCAGGGUGAGAAUCCCAAGGCGCUUGAGAGAACUCGGGUGAAGGAACUAGGCAACAUAGCACCGUAACUUCGGGAGAAGGUGCGCCCAGUAUCGUGGUGAUAUGCAUCACUGAGCGAUAUUGGGCCGCAGUGACCAGGCCGCUGCGACUGUUUAUCAAAAACACAGCACUCUGCAAACACGUAAGUGGACGUAUAGGGUGUGACGCCUGCCCGGUGCCGGAAGGUUAAUUGAUGGGGUGCAAGCUCUUGAUCGAAGCCCCGGUAAACGGCGGCCGUAACUAUAACGGUCCUAAGGUAGCGAAAUUCCUUGUCGGGUAAGUUCCGACCUGCACGAAUGGCGUAACGACAGCGGCGCUGUCUCCACCCGAGACUCAGUGAAAUUGAAAUCGCUGUGAAGAUGCAGCGUUCCCGCGGCAAGACGGAAAGACCCCGUGAACCUUUACUAUAGCUUUACACUGAACGUUGAGUUCGUCUGUGUAGCAUAGGUGGGAGCCUUUGAAGUCCAGGCGCUAGCUUGGAUGGAGGCGACGUUGAAAUACCACCCUGAUGUGCUUGACGUUCUAACCUAGGCCCGUAAUCCGGGUCAGGGACCGUGUAUGGUGGGUAGUUUGACUGGGGCGGUCUCCUCCCAAAGAGUAACGGAGGAGCUCGAAGGUACGCUCAGCGCGGUCGGACAUCGCGCACUGUGUGCAAAGGCAUAAGCGUGCUUGACUGCGAGAUCGACGGAUCAAGCAGGUACGAAAGUAGGACUUAGUGAUCCGGUGGUUCUGUAUGGAAGGGCCAUCGCUCAACGGAUAAAAGGU